GAUGAACGCUGGCGGCGUGCCUAAUACAUGCAAGUCGAGCGAAUGGAUUAAGAGCUUGCUCUUAUGAAGUUAGCGGCGGACGGGUGAGUAACACGUGGGUAACCUGCCCAUAAGACUGGGAUAACUCCGGGAAACCGGGGCUAAUACCGGAUAACAUUUUGAACCGCAUGGUUCGAAAUUGAAAGGCGGCUUCGGCUGUCACUUACGGAUGGACCCGCGUCGCAUUAGCUAGUUGGUGAGGUAACGGCUCACCAAGGCAACGAUGCGUAGCCGACCUGGGAGGGUGAUCGGCCACACUGGGACUGAGACACGGCCCAGACUCCUACGGGAGGCAGCAGUAGGGAAUCUUCCGCAAUGGACGAAAGUCUGACGGAGCAACGCCGCGUGAGUGAUGAAGGCUUUCGGGUCGUAAAACUCUGUUGUUAGGGAAGAACAAGUGCUAGUUGAAUAAGCUGGCACCUUGACGGUACCUAGCCAGAAAGCCACGGCUAACUACGUGCCAGCCGCCGCAGUAA
rnacentral:rRNA from 1 species